ensembl:misc_RNA Metazoa_SRP Metazoan signal recognition particle RNA
GCUGGGUGCAAUGACAUGGCGGUAGUCCCAGCUACCUGGGAGGCUGAGGCCAGAGGAUCACUUGAGCCCAGGAGUUACGGACUGUAGAGAGCUGUGCCAAUCAGGUAUCUGCACUAAGUUCAGUAUCAAUAUAGUGACCUCCUGGCAGUAGGGGCCACCAGGUUGCCACAGGAGGGGUGAAUUGGCUCAGGUCUAUAAUGGAGCAGAUCAAAACCCUUGUGCUAAUCAGUAGUGGGAUUGUGCCUGUGAAUAGCCACUAUACUCCAGCUUGGACAACAUAGCAAGAAA